rnacentral:rRNA from 1 species
GGUUGAUCCUGCCAGUAGUCAUAUGCUUGUCUCAAAGAUUAAGCCAUGCAUGUCUAAGUAUAAACUUCUUUAUACCGUGAAACUGCGUACAGCUCAUUAUAUCAGUAAUCAUUUCUUUGAUGGUACCUUACUACAUGGAUACCCGUAGUAAUUCUAGAGCUAAUACAUGCGUGGAGAGUGGUCGCCGUCAAAAGUGACUACUUGUGCUUAUUAGAUAUAAACUCAAUGCGGGUGUAACAGCCCGGUCUACAUUGGUGAAUCAUAGUAACUGUUCGAAUCGAAUGGCGUUU